GAUGAACGCUGGCGGCGUGCCUAAUACAUGCAAGUCGAGCGAACAGACGAGGAGCUUGCUCCUCUGACGUUAGCGGCGGACGGGUGAGUAACACGUGGAUAACCUACCUAUAAGACUGGGAUAACUUCGGGAAACCGGAGCUAAUACCGGAUAAUAUAUUGAACCGCAUGGUUCAAUAGUGAAAAACGGUUUUGCUGUCACUUAUAGAUGGAUCCGCGCCGCAUUAGCUAGUUGGUAAGGUAACGGCUUACCAAGGCAACGAAGCGUAGCCGACCUGAGAGGGUGAUCGCCCACACUGGAACUGAGACACGGUCCAGACUCCUACGGGAGGCAGCAGUAGGGAAUCUGCCGCAAUGGGCGAAAGCCUGACGGAGCAACGCCGCGUGAGUGAUGAAGGUCUUCGGAUCGUAAAACUCUGUUAUUAGGGAAGAACAAAUGUGUAAGUAACUAUGCACGUCUUGACGGUACCUAAUCAGAAAGCCACGGCUAACUACGUG
rnacentral:rRNA from 1 species